rnacentral:rRNA from 1 species
GAUGAACGCUGGCGGCGUGCCUAAUACAUGCAAGUCGAGCGAACGGACGAGAAGCUUGCUUCUCUGAUGUUAGCGGCGGACGGGUGAGUAACACGUGGAUAACCUACCUAUAAGACUGGGAUAACUUCGGGAAACCGGAGCUAAUACCGGAUGAUAUUUUGAACCGCAUGGUUCAAAAGUGAAAGACGGUCUUGCUGUCACUUAUAGAUGGAUCCGCGCUGCAUUAGCUAGUUGGUAAGGUAACGGCUUACCAAGGCAACGAUGCAUAGCCGACCUGAGAGGGUGAUCGGCCACACUGGAACUGAGACACGGUCCAGACUCCUACGGGAGGCAGCAGUAGGGAAUCUUCCGCAAUGGGCGAAAGCCUGACGGAGCAACGCCGCGUGAGUGAUGAAGGUCUUCGGAUCGUAAAACUCUGUUAUUAGGGAAGAACAUAUGUGUAAGUAACUGUGCACGUCUUGACGGUACCUAAUCAGAAAGCAACGGCUAACUACGUG